AACGAACGCUGGCGGCAGGCUUAACACAUGCAAGUCGAACGCAUCCUUCGGGGUGAGUGGCAGACGGGUGAGUAACGCGUGGGAACGUGCCCUUCAGUUCGGGAUAACCCAGGGAAACGUGGGCUAAUACCGGAUACGUGCGAGAGCAGAAAGAUUUAUCGCUGAAGAAUCGGCCCGCGUCUGAUUAGCUAGGUCGUGGGGUAAUGGCCCACCAAGGCGACGAUCAGUAGCUGGUCUGAGAGGAUGAUCAGCCACAUUGGGACUGAGACACGGCCCAAACUCCUACGGGAGGCAGCAGUGGGGAAUAUUGGACAAUGGGCGCAAGCCUGAUCCAGCCAUGCCGCGUGAGUGAUGAAGGCCUUAGGGUUGUAAAGCUCUUUCGUCCGGGACGAUAAUGACGGUACCGGAAGAAGAAGCCCCGGCUAACUUCGUGCCAGCAGCCGCCGUAA
rnacentral:rRNA from 1 species